rnacentral:sRNA from 2 species
AGCCCUCUCUGUUCUACAAUAUAGCAUCUGAUUAUUACAAUUUAUACUGUUCUAGUCAUAUCAGAUGAUCUACUGAUAAGUUUUUAUUGAUUAAAUCUUGUCAAAAGCUAAUUUGACUGUGAAUUAAUGGCUCUUGUGGUUGCUAAUUGUUGCUAGCUUCUACUUCUCAUUAUCAAAGUAUAUAUCUGACUUGCAAUUGUUCAAACUUUUUUUCUGAUAGCCUCUCUGCAGAUAAUCUUGCUUCUGUUGAGAAGAUCAUCUUCAACAAUGUUGUAAGAAUUAGAUGCAAUGAAAAUAAUAU